rnacentral:rRNA from 1 species
GAAUUCGAUUCAGGCCUAACACAUGCAAGUCGAACGGCAGCAUGGAGAGCUUGCUCUCUGAUGGCGAGUGGCGAACGGGUGAGUAAAGCAUCGGAACGUACCGUGUAAUGGGGGAUAACGUAGCGAAAGUUACGCUAAUACCGCAUACGACCUGAGGGUGAAAGCAGGGGAUCGCAAGACCUUGCGUUAUACGAGCGGCCGAUGUCAGAUUAGCUAGUUGGUGAGGUAAAGGCUCACCAAGGCGACGAUCUGUAGCGGGUCUGAGAGGAUGAUCCGCCACACUGGGACUGAGACACGGCCCAGACUCCUACGGGAGGCAGCAGUGGGGAAUUUUGGACAAUGGGGGAAACCCUGAUCCAGCCAGGCCGCGUGAGUGAAGAAGGCCUUCGGGUUGUAAAGCUAUUGGGCCGGGAAGAAAUCGCACAGGCUAAUACUCUGUG